CCUCAUCAAACACACCAAUCGACAGCGUUCUCCAGCUGGAAUCAUGCUCUAAUAGUGCUCUAAGAAAUGGUUGUCAAAACUCAUAGUUAUCGAAGAUAUUCUCACCAUUCAGGCGAACGCUGCCGAGCGGUUCACAGUCUUUAUUUUUCAUUGCCAGUAAAUGUUGCUCGAACAGAUCCGAAAGACGCACAAAAUACUUUAAACCUUUUUGGUCCGCCGUGCGUGUAGUUUUUUCGGCCAGACUGUGAGACUUUCAACGAAUUAAGGGUGCAUUUUUAAGCGCAUCCAUUGAACAGCGGAAAAGAACUAAAUUUUCAAAGCUCACAAAUUUUGGUCAUAAGUUAAACGAAAGCUUGUGUGUACUCGUAGUACCAUUUUUUGACACCAGCAAAUAGAAGAUCCCCAGCCUGAUAGUCAUGGAUGAGGAGAAGAUUGCCGUGGAUGGGAUAGUGGAAUAGGACCUUUGACAGCAUAACGACAAUCAAGUUAUUUAUAAAAAAAAAAUGGGUUAACUAAAGUUCUAAAAAAGCCCAAGCCUCGUUCCGAGGUAUCCGAUAAUUUCGAGACAGCCAAGGAGUCGUCCCGCUCGGAGGUGUCCGAUAAUUCCGAUCAUUUGGAGACAGCCAAGGAGUCGCUACAUGACGCUGUCAAUUUGCAGGAACCCUUUAAAGAGGAAACUAAACCAAGUUCUGUUUCCAUCACUUAGAUAUUCGAAGCAAAAUGAUGGCGGAUGGCGAGCUGGAGUUAGAGUUAAAUAUGUUCCUAAAUGAAAUUGUAUUGUUUAGCAACCUGAUAUUGUAUCGAAAUGCAUGAGGGUAAUCCUUGAAUACAGACAAAAUGGUAUAUGUAGAAAGUUAUAUCUUCGAAUUAAAUUUUGCUGCCAGAGGCAGCUCUUGGCCAAAAGGCACGCAAAGGAGUAAGAGCACGAGGU